UUCACAAGGUUGUCGACUUCGUGGUCGAGUUCUACUUCCUUUAGAGAAUUAUACUAACAUCUAGGUAAGGGCAUUUCACGUCAAUCUUAUACCUUAGGUGGAGCUUGAGCCAAAUUUUUUGUCUUUCGUAUACCUUAAAACGAGAUAGUCCAUCGUUAAACCAACAAGUUAGGUAGGUAUCAAUGUAAACUUCUAUAUAACAACUUAAAGGAAUAAAACACUUAUGUUCAGACUUGAAAAUCCUGUAAACCGUGUACUCAAACUUGGUAGGUUAAUAUCACGAUGAUUAAAACCCAGUGAUGUAGUACGUUAUGAUACCUACGACAAAUUGUACCGUUUCAACCUAAAAAAAUAAGAAAAAAGUCUAAUCUUAGUGAAAUCGUUACGGUAUAUCUAUUAUGUUCUACACCGUUUCACAACGUAAGUUAUCUCUAAUGUCACUAUUUAACCACUUUAAUCAAACGAGAGACUAGAGACAAUCGAAAUUGAGCGAUCCUUCGGUACAUCAGGAUAAAAAUCAUGAUCCUCCUCUUGCAUAUAAUUUAUAUACGGUAGGUCCCUUAACUAGAGACAACACGACCCCGUUUGAUUCGGUUUCGUUCGUGAAUGAGUUCCGUUCCUCGUCACGAGCAUGAACGAGUACCAACUCCAUCUAAGUCCAAUUUAAAAUACACAACUAAGGGAAGAGAAAGUGUACAGAUCCAGAAACACGGACUAGUUCGACAAGAAACUGUUCAUAAUAGAAACUCACUACGGUACAACCAUUAUUUUAUGAUAUAUUGAGUGUAAAGAAUAUACAAGGAAAAAGUAAAAACAGGAAAGUAAACUUUCGAGUAUACCAGUUAAAACCUCCGCUGAUGUACAUAUAUGACGACUACAAUGUACAUUUGUUUAAGCUACGAAAGUACGUAUACUGGCACGUGUAGUGGCUUGGGAAAGGUAAGAUAACGUUCCAGUUUAUCAAAAAGCACAAGAUUGAGAAACCCUAUCAGACGUCAAUAAACCAAGUAGCAGCGCGGAGUUCAAAGGUUGUCGCGGCACCGACAUGUGGCAGCUGAAGCGGCCUUUAGGAAGACGUGUAUGAGAUGACAGGCGGCUUUGAAACAGACUGGACUCAAUAAACCGAGUAGAAGUGCGGAGUUCAAAGGCUGUCGCGGCACCGACAUGUGGCGGCUGAAGCGGCCUUUAGACAGACGUGUAUGAGAUGAUAGGCGGCUUUGAAGCAGACUGGACUCUUUAUCUACCGCUGCCGAGUCGCCGCAGCACCACUUACCGCUUCGAAGAGUUUACCUGCCUUCUCUCCACCACUGCGCGCCGACCCUCUGCAUGUAUAAAUUACUUUAUGCUAAGUAUUCCAAAGUAUAAUUGUUUUUUACUACCAGAAACAUCUCAUUAUACUUGUAAAACAACUAAGGUCCUGUUGAAAUAAGAGGUUAUGCUUAGACAUUCUUUUCUAUACUGUAUGUAAACACGUUUAACUAUUACAUUCGAGUAGAGCUUUGAAAUAAGAAAAAAGUUCAAACUAAAUGAACCAGCACGAUUGAAGGUAAGACAGUUUUGUCCGAAAAGACAACUUUUUUGUCCUAUACAUCCUUUACUUUACCACAGAGUAUUAAGUAACCUACAUCUGGUCAUCCCAGUUAAUGUUUAACAACCGACAUUUACUGAAAGUCAAAGAUCGAAAGUAUUUUAAAUCUGUACAUGAGAAAUUGUCAUACAACACCAACUACCACCAGGAUACACGACCAAGUUUACUAGUACAACCUAUUAUAACGAAAAUGAUCGUCAACGUCACGAGAAUAAUAAAAUAAAGGUGUUUAU
rnacentral:rRNA from 1 species